rnacentral:rRNA from 1 species
UACGUAGGGUGCGAGCGUUAAUCGGAAUUACUGGGCGUAAAGCGCACGUAGGCGGAUAUUUAAGUCAGGGGUGAAAUCCCAGAGCUCAACUCCAGAACUGCCUUCGAUACUGGAAAGCUCGAGUCCGGGAGAGGUGAGUGGAACUGCGAGUGUAGAGGUGAAAUUCGUAGAAUAUUCGCAAGAACACCAGUGGCGAAGGCGGCUCACUGGCCCGGUACUGACGCUGAGGUGCGAAAGCGUGGGGAGCAAAACAGG